UACGUAGGGUGCGAGCGUUGUCCGGAAUUAUUGGGCGUAAAGAGCUUGUAGGCGGUUUGUCGCGUCUGCCGUGAAAGCCCAGGGCUUAACCCUGGGUCUGCGGUGGGUUCGGGCAGACUAGAGUGUGGUAGGGGAGACUGGAAUUCCUGGUGUAGCGGUGAAAUGCGCAGAUAUCAGGAGGAACACCGAUGGCGAAGGCAGGUCUCUGGGCCACUACUGACGCUGAGAAGCGAAAGCAUGGGGAGCAAACAGG
rnacentral:rRNA from 1 species